rnacentral:rRNA from 1 species
CCUACGGGAGGCAGCAGUGGGGGAUAUUGCACAAUGGGGGGAACCCUGAUGCAGCGACGCCGCGUGGGUGAAGAAGCGCCUCGGCGCGUAAAGCCCUGUCAGCAGGGAAGAAAAUUACGGUACCUGAAGAAGAAGCCCCGGCUAACUACGGGCCAGCAGCCGCGGGAAUACGUAGGGGGCAAGCGUUAUCCGGAUUUACUGGGUGUAAAGGGGGCGCAGACGGCGAGGCAAGCCAGGAGUGAAAGCCCGGGGCCCAACCCCGGGACUGCUCUUGGAACUGCGUGGCUGGAGUGCAGGAGGGGCAGGCGGAAUUCCUGGUGUAGCGGUGAAAUGCGUAGAUAUCAGGAGGAACACCGGUGGCGAAGGCGGCCUGCUGGACUGCAACUGACGUUGAGGCCCGAAAGCGUGGGGAGCAAACAGGAUUAGAUACCCGUGUAGUC